UGAGGAAUAUUGGUCAAUGGACGGAAGUCUGAACCAGCCAAGUAGCGUGCAGGAUGACGGCCCUAUGGGUUGUAAACUGCUUUUGUAUGGGGAUAAAGUUAGGGACGUGUCCCUAUUUGCAGGUACCAUACGAAUAAGGACCGGCUAAUUCCGUGCCAGCAGCCGCGGUAAUACGGAAGGUUCAGGCGUUAUCCGGAUUUAUUGGGUUUAAAGGGAGCGUAGGCUGGAGAUUAAGUGUGUUGUGAAAUGUAGACGCUCAACGUCUGAAUUGCAGCGCAUACUGGUUCCCUUGAGUACGCACAACGUUGGCGGAAUUCGUCGUGUAGCGGUGAAAUGCUUAGAUAUGACGAAGAACUCCGAUUGCGAAGGCAGCUGACGGGAGCGCAACUGACGCUUAAGCUCGAAGGUGCGGGUAUCAAACAGGAUUAGAUACCCUGGUAGUCCGCACAGUAAACGAUGGAUGCCCGCUGUUGGUACCUGGUAUCAGCGGCUAAGCGAAAGCAUUAAGCAUCCCACCUGGGGAGUACGCCGGCNACGGUG
rnacentral:rRNA from 1 species